rnacentral:rRNA from 1 species
UACGUAGGGUGCAGGCGUUAAUCGGAAUUACUGGGCGUAAGGCGUGCGCAGGCGGUUUCUUAAGUCAGAUGUGAAAGCCCCGGGCUUAACCUGGGAACUGCGUUUGAAACUGGGAGACUAGAGUGUGGCAGAGGGGGGUGGAAUUCCACGUGUAGCAGUGAAAUGCGUAGAUAUGUGGAGGAACACCGAUGGCGAAGGCAGCCCCCUGGGUUAAUACUGACGCUCAUGCACGAAAGCGUGGGGAGCAAACAGG